UGACCUUGAAAAGUCUCCGUAAGCCUUACUUUUCGCAAUUUCUAAAUAGGAACACGUGUGGUAAAACACUUCGGUAAAUCUAAAUGGUGUGAUGUGUUUUAAAUUUGGAACUGUUAGCCUAAUAUAGUAUGUGGUUUAUCUCAAGUGAAGAUCCCAGCCACCCUUACAGCACCAGAUUCUUCUUCCUUUCUUAGGAAAAGAGAGACAAGGCCUUGAAAUAGAAAUUUUUAUUUGAAUAUUUACUUGGGACUAAAUCAAGGAUGGAGCCAUCUUCUCUAAGACUCUUCAUUUAGACCAAGUGUGAAUGGUGAGGUAGAGAGAGAGUCCUUCUUCACUCCAGCUCUGCAAUAACACCGCGGACUACCAAAAGGAUGACUGCAAGAGACACCACGACUUCUAGAAUGACCUGCUGGAUAUGUAUUCUUAUUCUUCCAGAAGCUGUGUGUGGCCAUGACAAUGUGAAUGGAGGGACUGGCUUCACCAAAUCAUUCACUCUACCCAGCUCAGGAAAAGGACAAUGCAGGAGAGACAACAAUCAGAAAGGCUGAUCAAGUUUACCUGCAUCCUGAAGCUUCUCCAGUUCCAGAAAUGUGUUUAGCUCUGCACCUCAGAGACUGGUGGAGAGAGUUAGGUGGAAGAAACAAAAUUCUGCUCAGAAAAUAAGGGCCUG
rnacentral:lncRNA from 12 species